GUCCAUACAGCCAUCUUAAGACUGUCAUAAGGGUGUCGUAGAGGUGCCAUAAGUAUGUCAUAAGGGUGUCGUAGAGGUGCCAUAAGUAUGUCAUAAGGGUGUCGUAGAGGUGCCAUAAGUAUGUCAUAAGGGUGUCGUAGAGGUGCCAUAAGUAUGUCAUAAGGGUGUCGUAGAGGUGCCAUAAGUAUGUCAUAAGGGUGUCGUAGAGGUGCCAUAAGUAUGUCAUAAGGGUGUCGUAGAGGUGCCAUAAGUAUGUCAUAAGGGUGUCGUAGAGGUGCCAUAAGUAUGUCAUAAGGGUGUCGUAGAGGUGCCAUAAGUAUGUCAUAAGGGUGUCGUAGAGGUGCCAUAAGUAUGUCAUAAGGGUGUCGUAGAGGUGCCAUAAGUAUGUCAUAAGGGUGUCGUAGAGGUGCCAUAAGUAUGUCAUAAGGGUGUCGUAGAGGUGCCAUAAGUAUGUCAUAAGGGUGUCGUAGAGGUGCCAUAAGUAUGUCAUAAGGGUGUCGUAGAGGUGCCAUAAGUAUGUCAUAAGGGUGUCGUAGAGGUGCCAUAAGUAUGUCAUAAGGGUGUCGUAGAGGUGCCAUAAGUAUGUCAUAAGGGUGUCGUAGAGGUGCCAUAAGUAUGUCAUAAGGGUGUCGUAGAGGUGCCAUAAGUAUGUCAUAAGGGUGUCGUAGAGGUGCCAUAAGUAUGUCAUAAGGGUGUCGUAGAGGUGCCAUAAGUAUGUCAUAAGGGUGUCGUAGAGGUGCCAUAAGUAUGUCAUAAGGGUGUCGUAGAGGUGCCAUAAGUAUGUCAUAAGGGUGUCGUAGAGGUGCCAUAAGUAUGUCAUAAGG